AGUUGGCAACAGUGAGCUAGAGGUGUAGCCUGAGUCUGGAUGCUUGAGUAAUCGCUUUGUCGUCGGAACCUUGAACGUUGCAAGCUUCCAAUAACAGGAUAUUUUCACGUAUUUGCUUCUCAUUGGCUGGUCGAGCGAGUCGACAA